AAGUAUUCAGCUACAGAAAGUGUGUGAGGUUCCAGUGGCAGUGUCUGCCUAAAAGCAGAGCUGCCCCCAUAAACACAGGUGGGGCACCAAUCUCUGGCAGGUAUGCUGUUCCAGGGAAGCAGCCCACAGGUUCACCAGUGACACUGCAGUUGGGAUUAUGCCCACAGAAUCAACAUCUGAGCUUCUAAUUUUCUAAGGAUUCGUUUUGUUAUCUUCUCCUUGACCCAAAGUCAGCCCUCUCUUUUACAGAAUCACAGGCAGGGACUUGUCUGUGAAGCCAGCUCCUGAUGGGCACAGCUGUUGCAACUGCUGAAGGUUCCUCUGUUCCCCCACUUUGCUGCGCACAACACUGCUCUGUUUUCUUCUUAUUUUGAUAGAAGAGACAUUUCAGCUCUGCAAGUGAGAAUAUGGAGGGACAUGGCUACUGACUGAGCCCAACUGACUGAUCUACUCAGUGCUCAUCUGUGGGCUGAGGAGAUGAAGACAAGUACUAGAGAAGUGGAAGAUUGGAGGUCUCAUCUCUGUCCACGUGCCAGAGCCCAGACCUGCCUUGUAUGGUAUGUUAGAGGCCUCAUUGAAGAAGAAAUACACUACUGUGAAGUAAUGUGUGGGCAAAACAUUCAUUUCUCCUUUGGCUUCCAGUCUUUAUCAAAAUUCCUAUACUCACUACUGUCUCUCAUCUAGGUCUGGCAUUCCCCUAUUUAUACUGUGUGCACUUCUAAACACCACAUUAUCUAGAUAGAAAAAGAGCAAUGUCAAAUUAACCUCCAGACCUGCCUGUUCACUAAUCCACAGAGCAGCUGUUACUCCUCACUUGCAGCUCAUUGAAGCUCCCUGUGUUAUUUCUUGGCAGUUUUCAUCUCCUGAAAAGUUCCUGAGUACACAAAGCCCACACUGGCACCAUCCCUAGAUAUCAUAUAAAAUGCGCUCAUUUACUCCAGCUGCUGAUUUGGCCCUCAUAUUCUUGGUUUAGAUCCCACUCCAUAUGUUCCCUGUAGAAGAAUGUUUUGGAGCUUUUUUUGCUUCUUAGAAACCCACUUGUUUCAGACUCUGAAACACGAGGAACAACAUAUAAGAUCAGAAGAUCCUUGACUCCAGCAGUGACCUCCUCAUUGACUUUGAGAGGGAAACAACCAGCUUUCACAUUGAACAUGAUCUGUGUAAGAAGCAGUUAUUUGUGGAGAAAAUGAAGAAUCACGUCCUUGACACCAAUUACUCCAGCAAACUAACAGCAUAUCUGGGAUAAUUUCAAGGCUUACCAUGUAUGUGGACAAGUGCAUGAACAAAUUUUUGUCCUAGCCUGAAAUAUUUACCUGUGCCAGUAAAUACAGAGGUCGCCUAAGGUGCAGAGAGUCCUGGUAUAAAGGAAAGGAGUUCAACUAUUCAGUGCAAUAUUAAAAACUAGAUAGCAGAAAAAAUGUUCCUCUAUGUCACACUAGAAGUCAGAUUUGCUCUAAUCGUAAUCUUACUCAAGUCAGUUUGCUUUUUUAUGGUGUAAGGGACAAUUGUUUAUUUUAUAUUAAAUUCAGAUCUCAGCUGUGGAGCAGUGAUAGAGAGUAUAAUGUCUGAAAACUCAGUUGCAUUUAAAAACAAAGAUUAUGGCUUCUUUAACCUUCAGAAACUAUAUUCUAUUAUAAAACCAUGUUAGUUACCUGCUGUAAAUAUACUAAAAAUCAACAUCAGAUAAAUACAAGAUGCAUCAAAAGAUUUAAGGCACCUGUUGUGUAUUUAGAAGAAUUAUAUCUUGUUUAUGGUACAGUAUAAAAUGCACAGCUGAUUUAUAUAACAGCUAGUCUAUUGCAGGGGAAAUCUCAUUUCAAUCAUAAAUGGCAGAAGUUGAUUUAAGAAUUCAUUCUUUAAUGGGUCUGCAAUGUUCAAAUUUAAACUCAUUCAAUUCAUCAACAAAAUAUUCAAUAUGGAGCACAGGAAACUCAUUUAGGCAAACAGCGACUUUUAAUAUAAAUUUUCCAGGAGAUUUCUUCAUUGAUUCAGCAGUUUAGUGCAAAAUGAUUUGUGCGAUACAUUCUCAAGGAUCAAUGCAGGCCAAGUCAAUGGCUAAUAUAAAACAAUCAUCCCACCGACUACAGAGAACGUGUCAAUGAACUUUGACUUCACAUUGAACUGCUCUGUGGAAAGCAGAAGGAAGUCUGAUCAAAAUUAAUCGUGACUUCUCUCCCUUAUCUUUACCCAUUCUCCAUUGUGAUUGUUUGUAUUGCAACAUAACUUGGAAACUUCAUUCAGGACCAGAGCCCUGUAGCAUUGGGUUCUGCAGAAACACGUGACAAUCCCACCUUGCCCUUAAAAAUUGAUCUCAUUCUCCUCACUUCUCAUAGUGUGUGCCAACAUCUCAUGGAAAUGUGCAAAUUACAAGAGUCCAAGCCACUAUAGAAUGAACCACAGAACUUCUGUGAGGCUCAUGAGACUCAAAUCUCCUUUGGACAAGGCAAAAAUAUGGGGACUCUAAUAGUGAGUCAGCAAGGUGCAUCUUCAUUCUUUGUGUAGUUAGGGGUCUCCCCCUGAGGGGUCUUGGAGGUCAUUUUGCAGGACCAAGGCCUAAGAGCAUGUUCAGGCAAUGGAAGCAGGAAUGGUAGCCUGGGGAGAAUCUGGACAUGGCACUGAAGUCAAGGCACUGAUGGAACUAGGUGAUGGACAUGAAAAAAAAACCAACAAAAGCACAAAACAAGAAGGAAUUCUAUAAGUAUAUUGGUCAGAAGAGGCAAAAGAGAAAGGGAGAAAUGAAUAGCUGGGAAAAUGUAGGUCAGUGAGCCUCACCUCUGGGCCUAGGAAGAUCAUGGAGCAGAUCCUCCUGGAAGAGGCGUUAAGGCACAUGUGAGACAAGUAGGUGACCUGAGACACCCAGCAUGGCUACACCAAAGGCAGAUUGUACCCAACCAAACUGAUGGCCUUCUAAAAUGCUGUGACAGCAUCAGUGGGCAAAAGAAGGGCAACUGCUGUUGUCUACCAAGACAUGUGCAAGGAUUUUGAAGUGGUCCCCCACAUUCCCCUAAAUCUAAAUUGAAGAAACAUGGAUUUGAAGGCUGGACUAUUCAGAAGAUAAACAAUUGGUUGGGUGGAUGCAGUCAGAGGGUUGUGGUAGAUGGAUUUAUGACUAGGUGGAGGCCAGUCAUGAGUGGUGUUCCUCAGGGCUCUGUCCUGACACCAGUGCUCUUCAAGAUCUUUAUCAAUAACAUAGUGGGAUCAAGUGUACCUUCAGCAAGUUUGCUGAUGACACCAAGAUGAGUGGUGCAAUUGACACAAUAAAAGGAAGAGAUGCCAUUCAGAGGGAUCUGGACAGGCUUGAAAAGUGGUCCCAUGCAAACCUAAUGAGGUUCACCAAGGCCAAGUGCAAGGUUCUCAAGAAUUUCAAGCCAAAGCCUUCACUCAGUUUCAACUAGAAUUAGGUACAUUGGACUUUACCACAAGUUGUCUGGAAUUUGCAGCCUUCCCAGUGAAUUCAAUGGAGUUUCAGUCUUAUGACAUUUUCUUACCCAGGGAAAAUUUCUUGAUUAGCUUUCUUUUUUUCAGAGUUGCUGGGAUUGCAACUGAUCUGAAAAUCAGCCUUUAUUAUCCAUCAAAAGACAACAAAGCUUUGUCAGACAGAAUUUUGGAGCUUCAUGACCACUGAAAGGAUCCCAACUAUCUGAUAAAAAAGGGGCUCAAGUAGUUUUGUAAUAAGUAUAUUACUUAAUGUUUGACACUGCAACUAGAAGCAUGCGAAAUCUUUUCUGCUUCAGUGAUCAAGAAUAAUCAAGGAAGUUAAAUCGCAAAAUUUAUUAUCAAGCUGCUAAUCCUUGGAGUUUUGUUUUGUUUUUGCUGUGUUUCAAGGAAGAAGUUACCAAAACUGUUAACUUAGUUUUCCCAUGUUUCCUUAACUCAGGCUGCAAAUACUAGUACGAAAUGUUUACAUGCAAACCUUACUGUAAUGAAAAUGAAAGAAUAUAUUGAUUUAAUUUCCAAAUUAUUAAUCAUCUUCACAGCUGAACAAAAAUAUUGUAUUGCUCAGCUCAAGCAAAUCCUAACAUCUUUGCCUCUGGCUAUGAGUCCAAGAACUGAUGAAGGACGAAAUAGUAAUAUAUGUACUGUAUGUGUCUGUGGAAGAUCAGCAUUCUUAGAGAAUAAACUUACAAGCUGUGCAUCAAAAAUAAUAAUAAUAAUAAUAAUAAUAAAUUUGUAAUAUUCAGGUGAAUGAAAAAUCACAGAGGAACAAAGUAAGUAAAGGAUGAUCUGUCUUCAAGACAAAAAAUUUCCAUGCAAACUCACUAAGAGAGUGAAACAGAAAUAGCACAGGAUAUAGCAAUACAACAAAUAAUGGCCCCAUUAGAGAUAGUGCCUCGGGAAAUUUGACUUUUUAAAGUAUUUUUCCAGUGUAUCGGUCUUCUUGCAGAAACAGACGUUGAUAACCAAGGGGAAUGGAUGGCCAGACUGCAGAAGAGGAUAUCAGUUAGAGGACUGUGCAAACGAUACGGAGCGUUGGGUUUGUAUAGUAGAACUAGAAAUAUAAGAUAGUGAGCAGCAUGCCAGAUCAGCUUGCUAGAUUUUGGAAGACUCCAAAGUGUUAUAAUGAUAGAAGCUGCAGUGUGCACAACUCAAGGGAGAGUCUGUCAACUGCAAGUGCCCAGAUCCCACAGAAUCACUGAGCUACCUGGUUUUCAGGGAACUAAAUCAUUUGUAUAAUGUCAAAAAUUAAUAGCACAAAAGAAAAAAAUACAUAUGAAUGGCACAAACUCUGUUAAAGCGGUCUGAUCUCUCAUAAUAUUUUUUUUAUUACGAGGUAAGAAAAACAGAAACAACACUAAAAACUUAUUCAGUAAUUUCAAAAUUUGACCUGAAUUUGACCUCAGACUGAACUAAGAAUGAACUGAUAAACACUUACACCUAUUAAGUUACAGCAAAAUCACCAGAUGAUGUUUGGUUUUUUUUCUGAACAUUUUUUCAGUCUUACCCAUAGCCCCAGAUUUUUGGGUCAGAUCUUGGUUGGAGAUAUGCCUGCACUGCCAAUCAGAAUUUGGGUAUCAUAGAAUGACUGGGGUUGGAAGAGACCUCAAGAUCACCCAGUUCCACUGUGUGCAAAGUUGCCAACCACAAAAUCAGGCACUAUAUCAGGCUGCCCAGGGCUCCAUCCAACUCGGCCUUUAGCAGUUCCAGGAAUUGGAAUCGCAGCUUCUCUGGGCAACCUCUGCUAAGGCUUCACAACAUCAUGGUAAUCACUAUCCAGGACAACAAAUACGUUGAACUCCUUCAACGUGAAAUGGAGCAAGUAUCAACAUUUUGUAAUAAGGUGCUAACAAUAGUUUAUGAUUAUUUGCUGCAAAUUGUCUAACCCCUAGAGGCAGUUACCACACUGUCCUCAAGAGUUUGGCAAUGGCACAGCCUCAGUUCCUCAGUUUACCCAUCUUUUCUGCCUGUCAGAGGCCAGUUGUCUAAUCUUAUCUUCUGCUUUCUUAGUAAGCCUAAUGCUGUAGGAGUGAGACAGAAUUACAAACUGAUGGAUAGAUUUACAAACUGAUAAGUUUUCCUGAUGGUGAAGAGAUGAUGAUGCAUGUCCGUACUCCUGGGCAGCUCUGUAGCUAUGCCAGGGACUUGACACUCUGCUCUAGCAGAAGAUUUUGGGGCUUUUUCUUUUCCCAUGAUAGAAGACGACUGUUUCUGUUCUCUCUGCAGCCUUAGGCCUCCACCACCACUCUAACUUCAUCCCUGGAAGUGUUCAAGAAACAUGAAUAUUAGGCACUGAGGAACAUGGUUAGUGAUCAUGGUGGAGAUGGCUGGGCUAGAGGAUCUUAGUGGUCUUUUCCAACUUUAAUGAUUCUUUUUAUGAUUAUGAAUACAUCAUAGUGAUGUAUUUUCUUUCUCUACAUAAGAACUAUGUCCUUAUUUUCUAAUCAGUUAAAAGAUAGAAGAGUAAUGGCUUUUGAAAUACACAUGGUAUACAAAAAUCUCCUGGCCAGGUCUUUGAUGGACAUCCAUAUGGUUCAACAGAGAUGAACAUGUUGGUAGAGCAUGUAGACUCUGACAGGACAUCCCGAUUCUAUUAAAAUUCCUGUCCUUUGAAAACCUAUCUCCAAAAUGAUUCUCACCCAAGAGCAAAGGAGAUUCAAGUUGGAUAUUAGAAAAAAUUUCAUCUCUGAAAGGGUAGUCAGGUGCUGAAAUGGGCUGCCCAGGGAGACAGUUGAAUCACCAUUCCUGGAGGUGUCCAAUAAAUGUUUAGAUGUUGUACUAAGGGACAUGGCUUAGUGGGGAAGUAUUGGUGGUAAGUGGACAGUUGGACUGGAUGAUCUUGGGGAUCUCUUCCAACCUUGGUGAUUCAGUGAUUUGGUGAUUUUGCUAGACUGUGUAGGAACAGACUGGCUAUGAAGCAUUUACAGUUUAAAUACAGGGAUCAGGAUAUUAUACCUCCAAAGAUGAAGAUCUGAAAGUUAAUGAUCCAGAUUUCUCGUGUUGUGUUAGGGAUUGUUUCCAAGUUGCAAGGUUGAAUUCUGUGGCAACCCGAAGGGCAAGCAGUUACUCCAUUGUGCUUCAUAUAGAAGCAUCCAACCAGACUGAUGUUACCACAGACACGAGUAUAGGCCAAAGAUAAGUUUUGAUGGCAGUUACAGAUUUCCAGCUCCACUGAUUAUCAUGUUCCAUCUAUUAAUUUCAACAAUAUGGAAAAAGAUACAAACUUUGCAAAUUGUGCAACUAUACACACUGAAAAAAAAUGUGUCUUUUAAAAUUCAGCCACCUGUGGGAAAGGAAUCAGAAGUAAUUCAACAGCAAAAACAAACAAACAAACAAACAAAAAACAUGUACAUCAAUAUAGCACAAAAAAUGAAUAAUCCCAUUCUCUGCAAAUUGGCUUGCCCCUUGUACUGUGUGGAUAUGAAAAGCAGUUGAAACCUCACUUUCAUCAGCACAUUAUACAAGUACUCUCUUAUCUAGUGAGUGCCCUGUCCUCUAACUGCAAUUCUUUAAUGAACAGGAGAUGAAAUUCACAAUGAGGUCACAGGAACUGGAAGGUGGAACAACAUUUAACUGUGUUCUUAUAUGACAUCUCUGUUAUUACCAAAAGGGGAACAGUGAAAUCAAAUGGGAAAUUGAAGAGGAUAGAGGCAGGAGAGGGAAUAGUCCACAACAAACUGUGAAUCUUUACUUUUCCGCUUUAAAUGAAUGAAACCAUAAACUUUAAUAGCGUUGGUGAAUGUGCCUUAUCAUUGACUGAAAAUCAGAUUUGGUAUCGAUUUGAUUUUUGGAAUAUUACUCAAUCAAGCACACUUAACUGCAGAAAUUUAGUAUUUUUAUAUCUUAAAAAAAUCAGUGCAAGCAAAUCUGCCAAGCCUCCCCCCUGGCUACAAGUCUAACAACUGUUGAAGGACAAAAGAUAAUAUAUGUGAAUACCAUUGCCAUGGUUCACUGGGUUAAAACAAACGGCCCCCAUUUGACCUUUAAAUUGAAGGGUUUCCCUUUAUAUCACUAGAGGCAAAAUGCAUGGACAUGAGUACAACAACAACAAAAAGGGGACUUGUGUAGCUGAGUUGUAUUUGAUUUGUGAGAUUUUUUAUUCGUUUUUAAGAGGAUAUUUUUUCAUUUCCUUUGGAGGGGAGUAAACCCAAAAGUCAAAUUGAUGAAGAGAAAUGGAAUCUGAAUCUGUCCUGGGUUACAUUCACUGCUGGUUGGUUGGUCACCCUGGGGGAAAUGAUAUGUGUGCAGCUGGGAUGAUGAAUUGGGUUUGUUUAAGUCAUCAUUACAUUGUACUUUUUUAUGGACCUUAGUAUUUAUAACACUUAAAGUUGAUUGAGUAAUGUGGGUUGCCUUGGCAUCCCCGCUGGUCAGCAGGGGUGACGGGCCUUGACAGCAAACAUGAAGAUAUUACUGCUCCAAGACUGGUCCAGGAUGUCGGGGUAAUCUUAAGCAAUCUGCUGCUUGCUCUUGUGUGUAAUGCACUGUUGAAAACUUUCCCUGUAAGUGCAUUUGAGUGCAUAUAUAUAGGCUUCUGUAUAUGUAUUUGGUGAAAAGCUCAUCCUACUUGGAAGUAAUACCAGAAAGCAGAUGCUUUAACUGAAUUAAUUUUUCACUUUGAAGCAAAAUUUGAGCUUAAAAAUAACAUCCUUAUAAAUCGGAAACAUAGUUGUUAAUAUAUGUAAUAAAUUCAUUCCUUUAGGUUAGUUUCCCUAUUUCUAAUGAACAGCAUUCAGCUUUGCAUAACCAUCAGGAGAAAAUAUAUGUCUCAGGAGCAAAAUGUGUUUACCUGCCUCUCCUUGACAGGAACAACAAUGUUAGACUCAUUAUCUUUAAGCCACCCUCCCAAAAUAAUGAACUCCAGGCAAAUGGGGCUGUGCAAGCAUCCAAAAAGUGAAGUUAGGAUGAAACUCUCAGCUAAGAGAGAUGGGCACUGCUCCAAUAUGAACAUAUAUUCAUUUGUAUCAUGUUUGAAAGCAAUAUGUUACAGCAGUGUACAUUACUACUUGUGAUUAUUAUCAACAUCAGCAUUUUACUGUAAAUAACAGAACAUGUUGAAUAUCUAAACCAAAAGGCAAAUCCUGAAAUUGUUUGUAGAUCUGGAUUUGACUGGGCAGCAUCGGUAGCAUGAACAAAGUCUCAAUUUAUCUAUAUGUGUACAAUCAGUAUUGUCCCUCCAGCAUGUGUGCUUAUGCAGGCAGACACACGUGAGUACAUACAGACAGAUGUGUCUGCACGUAUAAACCUUAACAUGGAAAAGCUCAGUGCUUGAAGAAUGGUAAAUGCCACAGCUAAGACACCCUGAUCAUUAGCACAUCAUGACGCAGUUUUCAGUAAUAGCUGAAUUUUCCCAGCAGCUCUGCCCCAUUCAAGAGAAAAGGAGUAGUGAGAAACUAGUCAGUAUCAUUUUUUAUUGUCUGUGGGUGACUCUGUGAUUAGUUUACUACACAUUAUCCUCAUCUCGUCUUUAAGAAAGAAUUACAACCUUGCUUGCCCACAUGUAGAGUUGUUUGAAAAUAUGAGACCUGAAAUUCUUCCUAUUGCAGAGGACGUUGAAGUGGAAUUUUACCUGGAACAUAAAGCAGAAGAGUCUCUUCUUACCUAGUUUUCCAUGCAUGUUUCCUAUCUCCACAUGCCUAAGACAAGAUCCGGUUUGAGGUCUUCUGUUACCCUUUCACCCACCUUCCUGGCUAUGUGUUCUCUACUGCUCUCUGCUCCCAUAUGGUUCAUCUUAAAUGAGAAAAAAAGGUCAUCAGAUGAGCUCCUAGAGUUAUCAGCACAUCCUAGGAGACUGCCUUCUAGGGAGGAACUGCAUUAAUACUCAUAGUUCCAUCUUUGUUAACAUUUGUUUUUUUCAACCUUACUAUCUUUCCAGUACUCAACUGUAUCAUGCAAUUUUAAAUGCUUUUCUUUCAAAGCAAGAGUUGCAUCACAAGGAAUCCCCGUGUCACACAAAUUUCCCAUUAUUUUACACUUAUUAGCACUUUGACUACUUUAGCUGAGAUGUUCCUAAAAUUUGUAGCCAGGAGAGAUACCUAGCAGGGAAAUUUUCAAUUGGACCAGUUCAUAUUAAAUAGGAAAAAAAAAAAAGUAGGAAAUAUAAAGUAAGGUCUUGUUAUAAGAACUUUUAGGGAAUCUUAGAGAAAGGAAAAUGAAAUACCAGUGCUAUUCGGUAUUUGUAUUUCCUGUAGUUACACACACCACAAAUACACCAGUAGAGACUCAGAGUUUUUGCUUGUUCCUGUCCUAAAACAAAGACCAGAUGUGGAAGUCAAACCUUAUUCUUAUUGUUCUGUUCUGAGAGGGCACACAUUUGACUCAUUAUGGGUCAAAUGGUGCUUUUAUUUACAUCCACAUCAAUUUUAAGGAACUAUGCUAAUUAUAGGAGAGGUUGCUAUGUCUGAGUAUCAUUUGUUUUAGCAAUAAUCAAAAAGGAUAUGUGCUGCUACCCAAUGGAUUGCCAUAAAAAAAAAAAUUCCUUUCUUGAAGGAAUAGCACAAGUGUGACAAGGAAAUGUUCACUGAUACAUCUUUUACUAAUGGGCCCUACAAUGAAAACAAGAGAGAGUAAAGAUAAUGAAAUUUUUCAAUAGGCCAGCACCUGUGCAGAGCCCCUUCUGUUUUUUCCCACCUCACUGAUGGCAAAAAAAAAAAAAAAAAAAAAAAAAAAAAAAAAAAAAAAAAAAAAAAAGCCAACAAAACAACAGAACCACAGAUAGUCAAGAUCACCCCUUCCUUUGCUUUUCGUUGGGUAUGAACAGCAAAAAGAAGCUAUGUUGGCCAUAAACAAUGAGUGAAACUGCAUUAAUGGUAUGCUACAGAUAACACAAGCAAAAUUCAGGAGGAGCUGGCUAACACAUACACACCCCUUUUUGUGUUUUUUUUGUAGGCUUCAUUAAUUGUCAUCUGCUGUGUGAAAUGCAAAUCUAAUUGAAAUUUCUCACUAAUCAAGUGCAUCCUUCUAAUGAAGGCGUAUGACAGUUGUGUUCUGUGCAAAGUGCUACCUAAUGUGAAAUUCAAGUAAACACUUUAAUUACUUUAAAAGCCUAUUAAGGCAGAUUUUUAAGUGCAGUAUGUGGCCAUUUGCAUUGUCACCCAAUUUGUACACAGGCGGAACUACAAACACAUAUUCAGUGUGCAGAUGCAAAUUCAGUGCUUAACGAACCAGGUCCUGAAAAUGAUUCUUAACUGACUGGCCAGCGCACGGAUCAAUAAUAAGGCCCAGGAAGCCCUUCAAUCCUGUAUUGUCAUUUCAAAUCCAAGCUAUAAGUGCUCAUCUACAAGGGCUGUAAUUUAUUGCUUUAUUAAAAUUUUGUGGGAGUGAUAAAUCUACCAUCUGAACACAGAGGGUCAGAUGCAGAUGCCCUGUUUGACUUUUCUCCUGUGCUCACUAUGAUGGCUUUGCUGGGCUAUGCCGUACGCUUGGAUACUCUGAUGUUGCAGCUAUGUCUGGAGAUGAGUAUAUUCUCCACCCCCUCAAUGGAUGGAGAGAACUGCUCCCUGCAGCACUUCUGAUAGUUUUUGAUGUGUCCCAUCCAUAGAGAUGAUCAAGGUCAGGUUGGAUGGGCACUGGGCAGCCUGAUCUGGUGGGAGGCAACCAGCCCAUGGCAGGGGUUGGAAGUGGGUGAUCUUUAAGGUCCCUUCCAACUUAAACCAUUCCAUGAUUCUGUACUACAAGAUCCUUCCUCAGAAGCAAGGCAGUUUCAAACAGCUGUAAUCAUAGAAUCAUGUAAUAACCUGAGUCGGAAGGAACAUAUAAGGAUCACUGAGUCCAACUCCUGGAGUCCAUCAAGUCCAAAUCCCAGACAAGAGCUGCAGAUAUCAAAAAAUCCCCCCUAGCUUCCCUAAUGCUGCUUUAGUCAUGGGAUAUAUAGCAAAAGAGUGAAAGAACAUGGGGAAAGCUCAGUGAGGAGCCAGAUUCAAGGAUCCUGCCUACUAGGUUGUUUUGAAUUUGGUUUCUGAAGAAAGUUACAAGGAAAUAGUUCUAGCAGGGGUUAUUUAAUCUUCACUUAGACUUUACUUGUCUUGCUGAGGAAGCAGAACAAGGAUGAAGUCCUACUGAGACCACCUAGAAAUAGUUGAGUUUCAGCAAAAAAGCCUAAACUGCUUCAGGUCUGUGUUCUGUUGUAUUUUGUUUGUUUGUUUGUUUUUGAAUGAUAACCAUAAAUGCUAAAAGUAGGGGAAAUCUGUGUUCAGAGAGAACAUCUUCAUUGCACUGAGGGAAAUUUCUUCAAUAUCACGUUUCAUUUUUUCUGCAUAGGCAGGAGGGGUGAGGCUCAAUACACCACCCUUAUAGCAAGUGAAUACCCCUGGUCCUUGCUAGUGUUUGUAAGAAAUAAUAGCAUGUGGUAUCCCUUAGGAUCUCCUCAGCAUCUCUCACUUAUUCACCCUACAGAAGCAAGAGCAGGAAAAUCAAGGUCACCCUGUUCAAGACCUCUAUUCAGUGUUCUAAGAUGGUUUGAAAUAAUUCAGUGUCUGGAAAACAUCUUCCUACAUUAAAGUUCCUGACAUUAUCUUGGCUUUUGUUUCUUUGUUUGUUUUUGUUUUUGUUUUUGUUUCAUUUUCUUUAUUUUCUGAUGAUGGAAAGAGCUGGAUUGCUUGUUUUCUGUCUGUCAGAAGUUCCUUCUGUUUCCACGCUCUGCUAGAUAAUAACCUCCUUAAUGCAGUCUGUAAUACAUCCUUAAUACGGCUGUAAAACUGAAGAGUGGAAAAAGUGUCAACAAUAAAAAUUUCCAAAAUUCACUGUAAAUAACCCAUGAAUGUAUUCCUGCACCCCCACAGUCCAAAAUUUUUGCCUAUAAGACAUCAUCUGCACACACAGACUUUUUGCCAAGAGGCAGCACAGGUCCAGGUGGAGGUUUUCUCCCUAAAACUGCCUGCUAAUAAGCUGCCUUCCUUCCCAAGUAAUGGUAACAUCGAAGACAAAUUGUCUUUGGCUUUUGAAAUUAAAAGGAACUAUUUAAAAACAGAAGUGCUGUUCCAAAGCAUUUGAAAGAUUUCAUGAAGCAAAUGUGUUUUGUUGCAUGUUGUUCAAAUUAUCAAACUCCUGCUCCAAAAUGCCAAAACAGCAAAGUCAUUUUCAUUGUCAGAUUGCAAAAUGCAAACAACUUUCUCUUUUCCUUGCUGAGGGGCCUAUUUUGCCAGCACUCUUCAGUAUGAAUGGAUUAAUUCAUUCCUCCACAAGUGAAGUUCACGCACAGGCUGAGUAACAGAUAAUUGCCAACAUACAAGUGAGCUCUACCCUGAACUUCUGAAUUAAAUAAUUUGUAGGGUAUGCAGAGAGGCAAACAUUGCCAUCGUUGCAAGAAUUCUACUGAAAUUGUAUUAUUUUAUCCUCUAAGCAUUUGUCUCUACAGCUACCUUUCCAUGAACACGCAUACAUGACAGUAAAAAUUAAGAGGUGCCAAUAGCCUUAGAAGAUUCUGGCUUCUAGGCUGACAAAGAUAAAGGAACCCAAUACUAAAGCAGCUGUUUCAUUAUAUGAUAUUACUUCGUUGCAUGCAUUGCUUGAACAACUAAGAUUUGAAAAUUUUCAAGCAAUAUGUUAUCUGUACUUCCAUAAGAAGAAAAAUAUUAACUCCAGGUUUUGCACCACAGACUGGAAAUUUCAACGUGGGUCUGCAAGCAGGACUCUUUAAUCUCAGAGGACAACUCUACUUGCUGAGUAGCUCUGAAAAUUCUGACUGCUACUACUGUUCAUCUUGAAGACUGUACAACUCUGAUCACCAAUGUGAUUUAUACAGGAAUGAGGUCUUCAACUGAAUACCUAACUUCUGUAGACCACACUUUUGAAUGUAUAAAUGUUCAGUGCAGAACACACCAUAAACCUCUUCUUCAGCUGAGAGCAGCCCUAUCAUUAGCCUGUCAAGACUAACAGUCGGAUUUGUAAAGACAUUUAAUAGUCAAUUAGCAAAAGAUACUGUUCUCAAAAGGUUCCGGGUGCCCAAUUUCUCUUAAAUCGGUGGAAAGGAUCAUGGGUGAGGUGGAAAAGGUAUAGAUGUUGAAACAGACUUCUAAAGGUGCCAUGGGUGCCUACCCAAACACUUGCAUGCAGGAAUUAGGCACUCAGACACAACUGAAACUACUGUUUGAUGGCUAAAUCAGCCCAAGCCCCAGGGAAAGUAUUUGCGUAUCUCCUUUCAUUUCUGCAUUUAGAGAUCUUUAAUGGGAGCAGUAGUCAUCAUUUUUUUAAAACAAAUUUUAAUUUUAUAGGAAAAAAGUUAUUACUUUUCUUUUUGUUUAUCUGCUUUUUCACUCCUGGUAAGAAACUUGCAUUUAAAAUUUCAAUGAAGAUGGUUUAAGAUGAUGGUUAGGCAGGUUUGUUUGGAUUCCGACUGAGAAGCUGGCAUUGUUAUUUAGUGAGUGCAGCUCAGUGAAAUUAAUAGUUUGAAACAUUACACUGAGGAUAAUGCAGAAAGAGAAUAGAAAACAUCAUCUACCAUAUGAAAACUGUAUCUUAUUUCUUUAAACUCUUUCUGUUUUAAUUAAAUCAGAGAUUAUUGCUUGUAUAUAAGAAACUUCAUUUUUGAAUAUGUGUUUUCUACUGAAGCUGUUGUUUUCUUAGGAAAUCAACAGCACUAAAAGUUUUUAUUUAAUUCUAGCAAACAAGAAUGAAUGCAUUGCCAAUGAUGUUUGUGUCACUUGCUCCACUUUAAUAUCUGCCUGUAGGUACUCUGACUGAACAAGCCAGAAAGGUAUAAUUGUGUAAUGCUAUUUCAGUUUUUACGAAUGAUGAGAAAAAAAAUCAGAGCAAGAAACAGAGAUCUACAAAAGUCCUUCGAAUUGACUCUAAACGAAAUUCUGUUUAGGUCCACAUACUUCUACUGGUAGUGCAUACGAGACGUAUGAUAAGAUAAUGAUAAUAAUGUCAAUUCUCUCUUUCUUAGGCAGGGAAUAAGAUUACAUAGACUUUGUUACUACAGAGGCCUAUCACUGCUGCAAAAGCCUGCACUGUGAAUGAAAUGGUAUUUGCCUGUUUAUGUGAAGAAUGAUGAAACUUUAAAUGAAUCAUUGACCUUUCUUGAAUGACAUGUGACCUGUAAGAUAUCUGAGCUGUAUAUCAAGAGCAGUUCUUGAAAAUUGCUGUCUGCUGACCGAAAAUAAACAAUAAGAUAUCAAAUAUGGUUUGAAAAAAAUUGACUUGGUUUAACACUGGGGGGAAAAAAAUGAAUUAUUUUGACUCACCAGUCAGAACACAUCAAUUCAUUUCAAAUCAUCCUUCAUCUAGAAACUGGAAGGGCUACUUCUUGGCUUUAAAGCUGCUUAUGUCUGAGCAAUUGCUAUUUACCAGAAUGCAUGCUUUAUUUAAACAAUAACCAGCAGUAAUAAAGAAGCUGUAAAUGCAGGAAUUGUUGGGAUGAGAUGGAUUCUGCAAAAAGAGUG
rnacentral:lncRNA from 1 species